rnacentral:rRNA from 1 species
ACGGAAGGCAGCAGUGGGGAAUAUUGGACAAUGGGGGAAACCCUGAUCCAGCGACGCCGCGUGAGUGAAGAAGUAUUUCGGUAUGUAAAGCUCUUUAGGCAGGAAAGAAAAUGACGGUACCUGCAGAAUAAGCCCCGGCUAACUACGUGCCAGCAGCCGCGGAAAUACGUAGGGGGCAAGCGUUAUCCGGAUUUACUGGGUGUAAAGGGAGCGUAGACGGCUGUGCAAGUCUGAAGUGAAAGCCCGCGGCUUAACUGCGGGACUGCUUUGGGAACUGUAUAGCUAGAGUGUCGGAGAGGUAAGUGGAAUUCCCAGUGUAGCGGUGAAAUGCGUAGAUAUUGGGAGGAACACCAGAGGCGAAGGCGGCUUACUGGACGAUUACUGACGUUGAGGCUCGAAAGCGUGGGGAGCAAACAGGAUUAGAUACCCUGGUA